GUGCUGUGUGAGAGGAAAGGAGGUUCAUACUCCUUUUGAUAAGGGUAGAAGGGGCCCUUUGUUCUAACACAAUACAUAUGGUUAAUACAUUAUACCCUAGUUUGUGGCAGCUGACCACUGAUUUUA